rnacentral:rRNA from 1 species
ACGAACGCUGGCGGCGUGCUUAACACCUGCAAGUCGAACGGAAAGGCCCUGCUUUUGUGGGGUGCUCGAGUGGCGAACGGGUGAGUAACACGUGAGCAACCUGCCCUUGACUUUGGGAUAACUUCAGGAAACUGGGGCUAAUACCGGAUAGGAGCUCCUGCUGCAUGGUGGGGGUUGGAAAGUUUCGGCGGUUGGGGAUGGACUCGCGGCUUAUCAGCUUGUUGGUGGGGUAGUGGCUUACCAAGGCUUUGACGGGUAGCCGGCCUGAGAGGGUGACCGGCCACAUUGGGACUGAGAUACGGCCCAGACUCCUACGGGAGGCAGCAGUGGGGAAUAUUGCACAAUGGGCGGAAGCCUGAUGCAGCAACGCCGCGUGCGGGAUGACGGCCUUCGGGUUGUAAACCGCUUUCGCCUGUGACGAAGCGUGAGUGACGGUAAUGGGUAAAGAAGCACCGGCUAACUACGUG